rnacentral:sRNA from 1 species
UGCAGAAGAAGAAGAAUUUA